CAGCCGCCGCGGGAAUACGUAGGUGGCGAGCGUUGUCCGGAAUCAUUGGGCGUAAAGGGAGCGCAGGCGGGCAUGUAAGUCUUUCUUAAAAGUUCGGGGCUCAACCCCGUGAUGGGAAAGAAACUACAUGUCUUGAGUACAGGAGAGGAAAGCGGAAUUCCCAGUGUAGCGGUGAAAUGCGUAGAUAUUGGGAGGAACACCAGUGGCGAAGGCGGCUUUCUGAACUGCAACUGACGCUGAGGCUCGAAAGCCAGGGGAGCGAACGGGAUUAGAGACCCCAGUAGUCCCUGUCUCUUAUACA
rnacentral:rRNA from 1 species